rnacentral:rRNA from 1 species
GACGAACGCUGGCGGCGUGCUUAACACAUGCAAGUCGAACGGAAAGGCCCUGCUUGCAGGGUACUCGAGUGGCGAACGGGUGAGUAACACGUGGGUGAUCUGCCCUUCACUUCGGGAUAAGCCUGGGAAACUGGGUCUAAUACCGGAUAGGAGCCAUUUUUAGUGUGAUGGUUGGAAAGUUUUUUCGGUGUAGGAUGAGCUCGCGGCCUAUCAGCUUGUUGGUGGUGUAAUGGCCUACCAAGGCGGCGACGGGUAGCCGGCCUGAGAGGGUGGACGGCCACUAUGGGACUGAGAUACGGCCCAGACUCCUACGGGAGGCAGCAGUGGGGAAUAUUGCACAAUGGGCGCAAGCCUGAUGCAGCGACGCCGCGUGGGGGAUGACGGCCUUCGGGUUGUAAACUCCUUUCGCUAGGGACGAAGCUUUUUGUGACGGUACCUAGAUAAGAAGCACCGGCUAACUACGUG